rnacentral:lncRNA from 1 species
GGGAUUGCAGUGGCAAAGCUAGGCUAGGUCUUGGAAGCUGGUGUAAGGCGAUGCGGGUGAAGGCAGGAGGCUGAUGGAAAGACUGGGGGGAAGAAAAGCCGAAAUGGAUUCACGGUGCCUUGGAUGAAGGACGAGAGGGGAACUGCAAGCUCCUUCAACUGGUUCUGUCCGGUGAGAAGUGAUCAAGCUUGGGCUGACAAGAGGCUCAGGGAACCCUCACGUUCUUUCGCUUUUUUACCUGCCAAUCAAACUGCUACAAGACAACACCCUGAUCUGGCAUGGACAUGUAAAAGCAAUAGUCUUGGAAAAGCGAAUCUACCAGCAGGGGGCGCACCAGCCACAUCCCUGAAACCAGCCGCGCUGAAAAGCCGGUGGCCGCCUUCUCUUCUCUAGAUCUUCUCAACCUUUUCUCUUUCCUAAUCUCCAGGUCCGUGUUUACCUUAAUAUUACACCUCGAUUAAACAGAAAACAGUGCUUUAUUUUGAAGAGCGCCGAAUAUGUAUGCAUUUUGAGAAACCCAGUCUCACCCUUUCCGGAUACCCAGGAACUGAAGCAAGUCAUAACUUAAGAGAGAAAAAGGAGAAACUUCGGGGGGCAGGAAGGUUGAUUGGAAAUAACUUAAGGAAAGUCUGCAUAAUUCUUUUUUUUACAACUUUUCUGAGUUUCCAGCGGGUAUAUUUAGUGUGAGUUUGACAGUAACAGGCUAGGAAGGGCAGAGAUUGGAGAAGUUGGGGGUCGGGGGAGUGAUUAUGGAAGAAGGUUAGUAAGGAACAAAACAAUGCACCGUUUUGUAAAGAUAAUAAAUGGAACGUGGCUGGUAGAUACUAUUCAGUACAUUUCCUUAGGGUGAGUAAGGGUAGACCAGGGAAGGAGGGGGCGGAGAGAGUGUUACAGAAGAAAGAAAAUAAGUAACCCUGAUGGUUUAAGCCCUUUAUAAAAAAGAAAUGGCAUCAGGUUUUUCUGUUUUUUGUUUUUUUUUUUUUUUUUUCUCUAUUCCCCCCCACCCCACCCUUUGUAGUCAAGUGCAUUUUACCCACAAAGAUCCCAACAAGAGAGUGGAAGGAAACUUAGACAAGGCUUUGUUUGACUCCGUGUAGCGACAACAAGAGAAACAAAACUACCUAUUUGUAACGGACGUGCUGCCAUUGCCCUCCGCAUUGAGCGCCUACCUAUUGAAAUCUUUACGUCGGGACAAUGGGAGAGCGGCUAAAAUUACCCUCUUGGGUCCUGGGCGGGCAAGAUUCCUGAGUCCCUACCCCCGCCUCCAUCUCAUCCUCCUCUAACCCGGGCAUUGCUGGGCUCCCCCUUCCCCAGUCCCGGCCGCCUUCUCCCAGUGUGCGCUGCCUGCACCUGUGCCUGGAGAGCAUCGACCCCGCCUCCCAAGACUUGAGCCCCUUUGCGGCGCAGCCCCAGCCUUGCGCGGCCUGGGCUUUGCAGCCACCACAGUGGAAAUCGACGGGGGAAAUGCCAGGGCUGGUUCUGCUCGAGUCCUGGGAACUCUGCGUGGGAGGGAGUUUGUGACUGCGGCCCAAAAGCCACCUCCGUACAGUGCCGUGGGAUGCCAGGAAGUUGAAAUCACCCUCCCCCAUCGCCUGCACUUUUGAGCGCCCUUCCGUCUGUCUCUUUCCCCAGCCCCCAUUUGAAACCCGCACGACCGAAACCCUUCUUUCAGGGAGGCAUGGGAUGGGAAUGGGGAGUGGGGGGAGACAGUAGGAGCAUCCCCUUUGCUACGGUUGAAUGAAGACAGUCUAGUGGGAGAUGUGGCUGGGGCUAAGAGGAAGAGCUGCAGUUUCCUGGGCCAAAGAGCUGAGUUGGAUAGGGAGAUGGCAGCUUACCAAGGCCUGCCGGUUCUCAGCUCUAGAGUCGGCCUCAUGGUCCGAGCAGGAUUUAUUUUUAAGAACAGAGCAACGUUACGUGGAAGCAAGGAAGGUUUUGAGGACAGAGGUUUGGGUCUCCUAACUGCUAGUCGGGACUGUGAGAAGGGAGUGAGAGUGUUGGCACCUGUAAGGUAAGAGGGGAGAGCGGAAGAGCGCGGUACGGGAGCGGCACCAGAGGGGCUGGAGUUGGGGGGGGGAGUGCUGUGGAUGAGCAGGAGAACAAUGACACACCAACUCCUGCACUGGCUGUUUCCAGAAAUACGAGUUGGACAGCCGCCCUGAGCCACCCACUGUGCCCUGCCCCACCCCCGCACCUUAGCUGCUUCCCGCGUCCCAUCCUCAUUUCAGUACCCUGCACCAAAAAGUAAAUCAAUAUUAAGUUUAAAGAAAAAAAAAAACCCCCACGUAGUCUUAGUGCUGUUUACCCACUUCCUUCGAAAAGGCGUGUGGUGUGACCUGUUGCUGCGAGAGGGGAUACAAAGGUUUCUCAGUGGCUGGCAGGCUGGCUCUGGGAGCCUCCUCCCCCUCCUCGCCUGCCCCUUCCUCCCCCGGCCUCCCCCGCGCGGCCGGCGGCGCGGGAGGCCCCGCCCCCUUUCAUGCAAAACCCGGCAGCGAGGCUGGGCUCGAGUGGAGGAGCCGCCGCGCGCUGAUUGGUCGCUAGAAACCCAUUUAUUCCCUGACAGCCCCCGUCACAUGGAUGGUUGUCUAUUAACUUGUUCAAAAAAGUAUCAGGAGUUGUCAAGGCAGAGAAGAGAGUGUUUGCAAAAGGGGGAAAGUAGUUUGCUGCCUCUUUAAGACUAGGACUGAGAGAAAGAAGAGGAGAGAGAAAGAAAGGGAGAGAAGUUUGAGCCCCAGGCUUAAGCCUUUCCAAAAAAUAAUAAUAACAAUCAUCGGCGGCGGCAGGAUCGGCCGGAGGAGGAGGGAAGCUCUUUUUUGAUCCUGAUUCCAGUUUGCCUCUCUCUUUUUUUCCCCCAAAUUAUUCUUCGCCUGAUUUUCCUCGCGGAGCCCUGCGCUCCCGACACCCCCGCCCGCCUCCCCUCCUCCUCUCCCCCCGCCCGCGGGCCCCCAAAGUCCCGGCCGGGCCGAGGGUCGGCGGCCGCCGGCGGGCCG